GAUGAAGAACGCAGCGAAAUGCGAUAAGUAAUGUGAAUUGCAGAAUUCAGUGAAUCAACGAAUCUUUGAACGCACAUUGCGCCCGCCAGUAUUCUGGCGGGCAUGCCUGUCUGAGCGUCAUUUCAACCCUCAUGCCCCUAGGGCGUGGUGUUGGGGAUCGGCCAAAGCCCGCGAGGGACGGCCGGCCCCUAAAUCUAGUGGCGGACCCGUCGUGGCCUCCUCUGCGAAGUAGUGAUAUUCCGCAUCGGAGAGCGAUGAGCCCCUGCCGUUAAACCCCCAACUUUCCAAGGUUGACCUCAGAUCAGGUAGGAAUACCCGCUGAACUUAAGCAUAUCAAUAAGCGGAGGA
rnacentral:misc_RNA from 1 species